AGCAGUAGCCGCGGUAACACGUAUGUCACAAGCGUUAUCCGGAUUUAUUGGGCGUAAAGCGCGUCUAGGUGGUUAUGUAAGUCUGAUGUGAAAAUGCAGGGCUCAACUCUGUAUUGCGUUGGAAACUGUGUAACUAGAGUACUGGAGAGGUAAGCGGAACUACAAGUGUAGAGGUGAAAUUCGUAGAUAUUUGUAGGAAUGCCGAUGGGGAAGCCAGCUUACUGGACAGAUACUGACGCUAAAGCGCGAAAGCGUGGGUAGCAAACAGGAUUAGAUACCCCUGUAGUCCCUGUCUCUUAUACA
rnacentral:rRNA from 1 species